UACGUAGGGGUGCGAGCGUUAAUCGGAAUUACUGGGCGUAAAGCGUGCGCAGGCGGUUCGUGAUGUCUGGUGUGAAAGCCCCGGGCUUAACCCUGGGGAAUUGCAUUGGAAACUAGCGGGCUGGAGUGUGGCAGAGGGGGGUGGAAUUCCACGUGUAGCAGUGAAAUGCGUAGAGAUGUGGAGGAACACCGAUGGCGAAGGCAGCCCCCCUGGGCUAACACUGACGCUCAUGCACGAAAGCGUGGGGAGCAAACAGG
rnacentral:rRNA from 1 species